rnacentral:rRNA from 1 species
GCCAUGGCGCGGUGAAUACGUUCCCGGGCCUUGUACACACCGCCCGUCAAGCCAUGAAAGCCGGGGGUGCCUGAAGUCUGUGACCGCAAGGAACGGCCUAGGGCAAAACUGGUGAUUGGGGCUAAGUCGUAACAAGGUAGCCGUACCGGAAGGUGCGGCUGGAACACCUCCUUUCUGGAG